rnacentral:rRNA from 1 species
UACGUAGGGGGCGAGCGUUGUCCGGAUUUAUUGGGCGUAAAGAGCUCGUAGGCGGUUUGGUAAGUUGGAUGUGAAAUCUCCAGGCUCAACUUGGAGGGGUCAUUCGAUACUGCCGUGACUAGAGUUCGGUAGGGGAGUGUGGAAUUCCUGGUGGAGCGGUGAAAUGCGCAGAUAUCAGGAGGAACACCCGUAGCGAAGGCGGCACUCUGGGCCGGAACUGACGCUGAGGAGCGAAAGCGUGGGGAGCGAACAGG